rnacentral:lncRNA from 1 species
CCUUCUCUAUCCUCUCGGAUUAAUCUCCUCCUCCUCCAUUGUCGGUGUCCUUCUUUCUCCCCUAUCUUUCUUUUUUCCUUCUUCCUCACCCACUUUUUCUCCUGUAUGGCGGCUCCCUCGACCUCCAUCCAUUCCUCCAUUGCCUCUCUUUCCUCCUCAUCCUCCUCUAAGUUGCCCAAAAGCAUUCCCCUCCAUGGCAGCCCUCUCCUUCUCAUCCUCUUUCUUCUCCAAGCCCAUCUAUGAGCAAGAAAUAUUUCUAUCCAUUAAAAAGGAACGAUAACAUCAUCUAUUGGUAUAUAAAUGACUGGACCACAUUG